rnacentral:piRNA from 1 species
UGGUGUGAUACUUCUUCGUUU